rnacentral:rRNA from 1 species
UUAAAUUGAAGAGUUUGAUCAUGGCUCAGAUUGAACGCUGGCGGCAGGCCUAACACAUGCAAGUCGAACGGUAACAGGAAGCAGCUUGCUGCUUCGCUGACGAGUGGCGGACGGGUGAGUAAUGUCUGGGAAACUGCCUGAUGGAGGGGGAUAACUACUGGAAACGGUGGCUAAUACCGCAUAACGUCGCAAGACCAAAGAGGGGGACCUUCGGGCCUCUUGCCAUCAGAUGUGCCCAGAUGGGAUUAGCUAGUUGGUGAGGUAACGGCUCACCAAGGCGACGAUCCCUAGCUGGUCUGAGAGGAUGACCAGCCACACUGGAACUGAGACACGGUCCAGACUCCUACGGGAGGCAGCAGUGGGGAAUAUUGCACAAUGGGCGCAAGCCUGAUGCAGCCAUGCCGCGUGUAUGAAGAAGGCCUUCGGGUUGUAAAGUACUUUCAGCGGGGAGGAAGGUGUUGUGGUUAAUAACCACAGCAAUUGACGUUACCCGCAGAAGAAGCACCGGCUAACUCCGUGCCAGCAGCCGCGGUAAUACGGAGGGUGCAAGCGUUAAUCGGAAUUACUGGGCGUAAAGCGCACGCAGGCGGUCUGUCAAGUCGGAUGUGAAAUCCCCGGGCUCAACCUGGGAACUGCAUUCGAAACUGGCAGGCUUGAGUCUUGUAGAGGGGGGUAGAAUUCCAGGUGUAGCGGUGAAAUGCGUAGAGAUCUGGAGGAAUACCGGUGGCGAAGGCGGCCCCCUGGACAAAGACUGACGCUCAGGUGCGAAAGCGUGGGGAGCAAACAGGAUUAGAUACCCUGGUAGUCCACGCCGUAAACGAUGUCUACUUGGAGGUUGUGCCCUUGAGGCGUGGCUUCCGGAGCUAACGCGUUAAGUAGACCGCCUGGGGAGUACGGCCGCAAGGUUAAAACUCAAAUGAAUUGACGGGGGCCCGCACAAGCGGUGGAGCAUGUGGUUUAAUUCGAUGCAACGCGAAGAACCUUACCUGGUCUUGACAUCCACGGAAGUUUUCAGAGAUGAGAAUGUGCCUUCGGGAACCGUGAGACAGGUGCUGCAUGGCUGUCGUCAGCUCGUGUUGUGAAAUGUUGGGUUAAGUCCCGCAACGAGCGCAACCCUUAUCCUUUGUUGCCAGCGAUUAGGUCGGGAACUCAAAGGAGACUGCCAGUGAUAAACUGGAGGAAGGUGGGGAUGACGUCAAGUCAUCAUGGCCCUUACGACCAGGGCUACACACGUGCUACAAUGGCGCAUACAAAGAGAAGCGACCUCGCGAGAGCAAGCGGACCUCAUAAAGUGCGUCGUAGUCCGGAUUGGAGUCUGCAACUCGACUCCAUGAAGUCGGAAUCGCUAGUAAUCGUGGAUCAGAAUGCCACGGUGAAUACGUUCCCGGGCCUUGUACACACCGCCCGUCACACCAUGGGAGUGGGUUGCAAAAGAAGUAGGUAGCUUAACCUUCGGGAGGGCGCUUACCACUUUGUGAUUCAUGACUGGGGUGAAGUCGUAACAAGGUAACCGUAGGGGAACCUGCGGUUGGAUCACCUCCUUACCUUAAAGAAGC